rnacentral:lncRNA from 1 species
CAUAGAUGCAGCUUGUAAGGCUUAUGCACAAAGUACAACUAGUAAGCCCCAUGAGCAACGUCGCCGAUGAUGGAUAUCUUGUAGGAUCUUCUUUUUGUAAAUCCUAGGUUUUUUUUUGAAACACUUUUGUAUUAGAAAUCAAUACUUGUAAUGAUUUCUUCUUUUUGACUAUGUACUGACUUCAAAGGUUCACAAUGAUACAUGAAUACA